ensembl:lncRNA
AUCCUUUCUUAAUGACAUUUUAACAAAAGUUCUAAAGCGGCAUUUUUUUCCCCAUCUGUGUUCCCGUCUUAGCCGGAGGAACCCUGCCAGUUGAUUGAACGCAGCGUUUCAAUGGGCCGACUCAACUUCCGUGACAGCGACUACCUGAGGAACGGAGCCCACCACCGGAGCAGAGUCCGGGAGAGGUCCUACAUGUUCCAGAAGGACAGCUCUGCGCCUCCACCCAAAAUUUUAAUUUCGUCCGUGUCGGAGGACCGGGGCACCGUGACGCCCAGGUUCAGGCCCGCUGCAGCUCGAUCAUGGUCCACUGAAGACUUCCUGGCCGAUUCCCCAGAGGAGAACACCACUAGUGUGGUCAAGGAUCAGAGUAAACCUGGUACUCCAGUUGUCAGAGACUCGGACUCGCCUCAGCUCUGCCACACCCACUCACCGACCGAUUCAUCAGUGCCCGAGUCGGUGAACACGGAGUCUGUAAUCGGUGACUCUGCCAUCAGCUCGCCGGACUCGUGGGUGGAGAGUGAGUAUGGGGUGACGCCUGAGAAGUUCUGCGAGAGUCGAAGCGACAGUUCUCUGUGUGACAGCGGAACAGCCUGGGAUUUGUACCGCGCCACACCUGUGGAGAUCACAUCUCUGGAUGACGGGUACAUGCCCCCCACAGAGGACAGAAUAUCUGAUGAACCGCAGACCUCUGAGUCAUAUAUCGAUGAAGGGAUCUAUUCGUUAAGCUCCUUGGAGAACGCACAGGAGAGAAUCCACGGCCAAUCAGACCAAAAGCCAGUGGAAGAAAUAAAAGGGAAAGAAAGCCCCGAACUGAAGUCUGCGCUAAAACAGACGCCUGAAAAGGAUCAAACUAAGGUCACAGAGGAAGUAAAUUCUAAACAGAUGGACAAAAGUAUUCUUGACAAAGUACCUAGUGACCAAGAGCCCUCUUUAGGUUUCAGCGAGACCGAAGAACUUACCUCCUUAAGUGGUGAAAGUGUCCUUGAACCUAAUGAAACUAACCAAAACCAGUCCAGCGCCAUCACUGAAAAACCUUUACUUGACUCUUCCACUGAAGAACCAGGUAUUAAGGAAGGGAGAACUUACAUAGAAUCAAAGGUAACUGACACUGGGGAAGCACAGGACCUUCAAGGUCAAUCUAAUGUUCAACCCGAAAGCCUGAGUAAGAGAGGGAAUUCACAGGAAGUGGAAGUGGAAAGUGGAUGUCAGGAAACAGAAUCUGGUGUAGAGGAAAAACCAGGGCAGUCGAAAGAUGAAUCAGGGAUGAUUUUAAAAGAUUUGGAUGACAGUAUUGUAGAAUCACAAGACAAAGUAAGUGAAGAGGGUCUCAAAGGUCAAGAAAGCUUAGAGACUCCUGAUAUCAUUGCAAACAUAAAUUCAGAUACCCAAGAUGACGCAUCAAAAACAAAUCUGGAGCCAAGUAUCGGCAUCAAUAUACCACUGAUUUCCAUUUCUAGUGAGCCAGAGGUACUAGAAGAGGAAGAGGAGGCAACAUGUGUCACAGAAGUACAGAAUCAUUCCGGGGAUGAAGACUCACACCGGCCAGAAGUGUCUGGAAGUAACGAGAGUGACACAAAUAUUACAAGUCCUCAGAAUACAAAUGAAGUCAGCUUUGUCUCCAAUAAAGAUACUGACGGUGAUCUUACUGAGAGUGUUGGAAUUAUAACGUCAGUGCAACCUAAAGCAACAGAAAAUGGACAUUUGGGAGACAAAGGUGUCCAGAGUCCAGUGACUGCUGAACCAAAUGGAAAGAUCCUAACUGUGGAUACCGACUCUUCCACUGCUUCAAAACACAUGGACUUGUUUUGUACAGACGUUGGUCGAAGUUCUCCCAGUGGGGAUCUGGUUGACCUCAUUGAACCCAUGGAUCUUUUCUACCCCGAUAAAGAGGAGCCCAUGUUUACGGAGCCACCUGACAAUGAAAUGCAGAGCUGGCCCUCUGUCCUGAGUGUAUCUGCUCUCCAACCAGCGCCGACUUCAGAGAGUCUGCCAGAAGAGCAGCCGUUUAACCAACAGGACGAAGACACUGGGACGAGGGUGGAUUUACAUCAAGGACAGGUGAAGGUGAUAACGGAGAUCCACAAAGACACCGACAGACCGUCUGAAUCCCAAGAAUGGUCCUCAUUGCCUGGGAAGAAGAUAGGAGGACCCACGGGUGCUGAUGGGCAGGAAGACAGCAUCGAUCUCAUCGCGGGUCGACCACAGGGCGCGGACUCUGCCAAGGAAAACACAGACUCUGUGAGGAGUAUCAUUAAAAGUUCCUGCAGACCUGAUGAAAACCAGAUCCCUCCGGUUCUCCGCCACAGAAAGGGGACUCGCUUCGCUGAGUCCACGGACAAUCAGAGAGCAGUGUCUGUGUCUGCCAGAAAAGCUGAAGAUGACAGGUCUGAUUUUUGGUUGGGGGAGGACUGGGAGACGUAUUUGCUGCUGUUGCUGUGGCUGCUGCUCUACUGUUUCUGGGUGUUACCACAGAUCGACCUGAAGACACUGCCCAGCCUGUUACUUAACAUCAAACACUAAACAUAGUGUACACACACACACACACACACACACACACACACACACACACACACACACACACACACAUAGGACUUACUACCACUUCAACAUACACACAGCUCAACUGCCAUUCUACGUUCUCUGUACAUGACACUAAACUCCAGAUUAAGUGAAG